rnacentral:rRNA from 1 species
CGUGCCUAAUACAUGCAAGUCGAGCGAACGGACGAGAAGCUUGCUUCUCUGAUGUUAGCGGCGGACGGGUGAGUAACACGUGGAUAACCUACCUAUAAGACUGGGAUAACUUCGGGAAACCGGAGCUAAUACCGGAUAAUAUUUUGAACCGCAUGGUUCAAAAGUAAAAGACGGUCUUGCUGUCACUUAUAGAUGGAUCCGCGCUGCAUUAGCUAGUUGGUAAGGUAACGGCUUACCAAGGCAACGAUGCAUAGCCGACCUGAGAGGGUGAUCGGCCACACUGGAACUGAGACACGGUCCAGACUCCUACGGGAGGCAGCAGUAGGGAAUCUUCCGCAAUGGGCGAAAGCCUGACGGAGCAACGCCGCGUGAGUGAUGAAGGUCUUCGGAUCGUAAAACUCUGUUAUUAGGGAAGAACAUAUGUGUAAGUAACUGUGCACAUCUUGACGGUACCUAAUCAGAAAGCCACGGCUAACUACGUGCCAGCAGCCGCGGUAAUACGUAGGUGGCAAGCGUUAUCCGGAAUUAUUGGGCGUAAAGCGCGCGUAGGCGGUUUUUUAAGUCUGAUGUGAAAGCCCACGGCUCAACCGUGGAGGGUCAUUGGAAACUGGAAAACUUGAGUGCAGAAGAGGAAAGUGGAAUUCCAUGUGUAGCGGUGAAAUGCGCAGAGAUAUGGAGGAACACCAGUGGCGAAGGCGACUUUCUGGUCUGUAACUGACGCUGAUGUGCGAAAGCGUGGGGAUCAAACAGGAUUAGAUACCCUGGUAGUCCACGCCGUAAACGAUGAGUGCUAAGUGUUAGGGGGUUUCCGCCCCUUAGUGCUGCAGCUAACGCAUUAAGCACUCCGCCUGGGGAGUACGACCGCAAGGUUGAAACUCAAAGGAAUUGACGGGGACCCGCACAAGCGGUGGAGCAUGUGGUUUAAUUCGAAGCAACGCGAAGACCCUUACCAAAUCUUGACAUCCUUUGACAACUCUAGAGAUAGAGCCUUCCCCUUCGGGGGACAAAGUGAC